GCCAAAAAGCGUACCAGAAAAGAUGGCGGAUUUUGAGCUUUGCUGACGCCACAUGGUCCCCUUUGCCCAUGGUAAUUACCACUGACAUACCGCGAUACAAAGUAAAAAACGUGUCCAUCACCCUCCCGAUUUUUGACUGUUAUCAGUUUUUGAAUAUUUUUUUAUUCAUCUUUCCCGCCUUUCACUAAAUUUAAAAAAUGCCUAAGUUUUGCUGCGUUUUUGGUUGUCAUAAUUCCUUCUCAAAGGAGAAUAUUACCUCCCACCGUUUUCCUGAUGCUGAGAGGAGUCCUGAGUUACAUGCCUUAUGGAUGGAGAAUAUAAACAAGAAUGCUGCUAUUGAGUUUACUCCAAAUAAGGGAAGUCGUGUCUGUUCCGAACAUUUUAGUGUGGACAUGAUGCAAAAAGUUGGGCAAAGGACAAUGCUGUUGCCAUAUGCUAUCCCAACAAUAUUUCAGAAGUCUCAGGAAACACAAAGUGUGAAAUGUGUGGAGGUUGCAUC
rnacentral:lncRNA from 1 species